GAUGAACGCUAGCGGCAGGCCUAACACAUGCAAGUCGAGGGGUAGAAUUAGCUUGCUAAUUUGAGACCGGCGCACGGGUGCGUAACGCGUAUGCAAUCUGCCUUGUACUGAGGGAUAGCCCAGAGAAAUUUGGAUUAAUACCUCAUAGUAUUAUGAUGUGGCAUCACAUUAUAAUUAAAGUUCCAACGGUACAAGAUGAGCAUGCGUCCCAUUAGUUAGUUGGUAAGGUAACGGCUUACCAAGACGAUGAUGGGUAGGGGUCCUGAGAGGGAGAUCCCCCACACUGGUACUGAGACACGGACCAGACUCCUACGGGAGGCAGCAGUGAGGAAUAUUGGUCAAUGGGCGCAAGCCUGAACCAGCCAUGCCGCGUGCAGGAUGACGGUCCUAUGGAUUGUAAACUGCUUUUAUACGGGAAGAAACACUCCUACGUGUAGGAACUUGACGGUACCGUAAGAAUAAGGAUCGGCUAACUCCGUGCCAGCAGCCGCGGUAACAC
rnacentral:rRNA from 1 species